AUACUUCAUUACAUUAAUUCAAAUUAUUGAUAAUGUGCUUUUGUUAUUAUCCAUUAAUUUGAAUUAAUCUAACAAAGUA
rnacentral:miRNA from 1 species